rnacentral:sRNA from 1 species
UCGAAUCCUGCACGACCCACCAAUCGUUCGGUGGAAACGAGAAUAAAGCGUGAAGGAUAACGUUGCGUCAGCAACGGCCCGUAGGGCGAGGCGAAGCCGAGUCAUCCUGCACAACCCACCA